rnacentral:rRNA from 1 species
CCCCACUGCUCUCGAGAUGGUACUAAGCCAUGCUAGUCGGACGACCCCGAACUAUGGCGGGGGAGUGGCAGACUGCUCAGUAACACGUAGCUAACCUACCCUCCGGACAGGAACAACCCCGGGAAACUGGGGCUAAUACCUGAUAUGUGUGGAGGCCUGGAAUGGUUCCACGCCUAAAGGUUUGCGCGCCCAUGUUGCGCGCUGACGCCGGAGGAUGGGGCUGCGGCCGAUCAGGUUGUUGGUGAGGUAACGGCUCACCAAGCCUUUGACCGGUACGGGCCGUGAGAGCGGUAGCCCGGAGAUGGGCACUGAGACAAGGGCCCAGGCCCUACGGGGCGCAGCAGGCGCGAAACCUCCACAAUGCACGAAAGUGCGAUGGGGCUAUCUCGAGUGCCGCCUGAAGAAGGCGGCUUUUCCAUGGUGUAAUAAGCCGUGGGAAUAAGAGGGGGGCAAGACUGGUGUCAGCCGCCGCGGUAACACCAGCCCCUCGAGUGGUGGGGACGUUUAUUGGGCCUAAAGCGUCCGUAGCCGGCUUUGCAAGUCCCUCGUUAAAUCCAGCGUCCUAAGCGCUGGGCCGCGAGAGAGACUGCGAAGCUAGAGGGUGGGAGAGGUCAGCGGUAUUUCUGGGGUAGGGGCGAUAUCCUUUGAUCCCAGGAGGACCACCAGUGGCGAAGGCUGCUGACUAGAACACGCCUGACGGUCAGGGACGAAAGCUGGGGUAGCGAAUCGGAUUAGAUACCCGAGUAGUCCCAGCCGUAAACGAUGCAGGCUAGGUGUUGGGUCGGCCACGUGCCGCCUCAGUGCCACAGGGAAGCCGUUAAGCCUGCCGCCUGGGGAGUACGGCCGCAAGGCUGAAACUUAAAGGAAUUGGCGGGGGAGCACCACCAGGCGUGAAGCCUGCGGUUU